rnacentral:rRNA from 1 species
AUUGAACGCUGGCGGCAUGCCUUACACAUGCAAGUCGAACGCGAAAGGGGGGCAACCCCCGAGUAGAGUGGCGGACGGGUGAGUAAUACAUCGGAACGUACCCAGUAGUGGGGGACAACCUCGAGAAAUCGAGGCUAAUACCGCAUACGACCCACGGGUGAAAGCGGGGGACCGCAAGGCCUCGCGCUAUUGGAGCGGCCGAUGUCCGAUUAGCUAGUUGGUGGGGUAAGAGCCCACCAAGGCGACGAUCGGUAGCUGGUCUGAGAGGACGACCGGCCACACUGGGACUGAGACACGGCCCAGACUCCUACGGGAGGCAGCAGUGGGGAAUUUUGGACAAUGGGGGCAACCCCGAUCCAGCCAUGCCGCGUGCGGGAAGAAGGCCUUCGGGUUGUAAACCGCUUUCGGCCGGAACGAAAUCGCCGGGGAGAACAUCCCCGGUGGAUGACGGUACCGGAAGAAGAAGCACCGGCUAACUACGUGCCAGCCGCCGCAGUAAAAC